UACGUAGGGUGCGAGCGUUGUCCGGAAUUAUUGGGCGUAAAGAGCUCGUAGGCGGCCUGUCGCGUCGGUUGUGAAAGCCCGGGGCUUAACCCCCGGGUCUGCAGUCGAUACGGGCAGGCUAGAGUUCGGUAGGGGAGAUCGGAAUUCCUGGUGUAACGGUGAAUGACGCAGAUAUCAGGAGGAACACCGGUGGCGAAGGCGGAUCUCUGGGCCGAUACUGACGCUGAGGAGCGAAAGCGUGGGGGAGCGAACAGG
rnacentral:rRNA from 1 species